GGGGAAUCUUCCGCAAUGGACGAAAGUCUGACGGAGCAACGCCGCGUGAGUGAUGACGGCCUUCGGGUUGUAAAGCUCUGUUAAUCGGGACGAAAGGCCUUCUUGCGAAUAGUUAGAAGGAUUGACGGUACCGGAAUAGAAAGCCACGGCUAACUACGUGCCAGCAGCCGCGGUAAUACGUAGGUGGCAAGCGUUGUCCGGAAUUAUUGGGCGUAAAGCGCGCGCAGGCGGAUUGGUCAGUCUGUCUUAAAAGUUCGGGGCUUAACCCCGUGAUGGGAUGGAAACUGCCAAUCUAGAGUAUCGGAGAGGAAAGUGGAAUUCCUAGUGUAGCGGUGAAAUGCGUAGAUAUUAGGAAGAACACCAGUGGCGAAGGCGACUUUCUGGACGAAAACUGACGCUGAGGCGCGAAAGCCAGGGGAGCGAACGGGAUUAGAUACCCCGGUAGUCCUGGCCGUAAACGAUGGGUACUAGGUGUAGGAGGUAUCGACCCCUUCUGUGCCGGAGUUAACGCAAUAAGUACCCCGCCUGGGGAGUACGACCGCAAGGUUG
rnacentral:rRNA from 1 species